AAUAUCAACUCCCUCGGGUUUCCGAGUGAGCUUGGAUUUGGGCGCUGCCGUCAUUGGCUCGCCUUAAAGAACUCUGUGGAUGUCUCCCGCGUCAAUGUAAUAAGUUUCAUUGGCAAAGUUCUUUGUCUGCAUACAACCGCCGCAAGGCAAUCUUAUU
rnacentral:misc_RNA from 1 species